UACAGAGGGGGCAAGCGUUGUUCGGAAUUACUGGGCGUAAGGCGUGCGCAGGCGGUUUUGUAAGUCUGUCGUGAAAUCCCCGGGCUCAACCUGGGAAUUGCGAUGGAGACUGCAAGGCUAGAAUCUGGCAGAGGGGGGUAGAAUUCCACGUGUAGCAGUGAAAUGCGUAGAGAUGUGGAGGAACACCGAUGGCGAAGGCAGCCCCUGGGUCAAGAUUGACGCUCAUGCACGAAAGGCGU
rnacentral:rRNA from 1 species